rnacentral:rRNA from 1 species
UGAUACUGCGAGACUAGAGUAAUGGAGUGGGAACCGGAAUUCUCGGUGUAGCAGUGAAAUGCGUAGAUAUCGAGAGGAACACUCGUGGCGAAGGCGGGUUCCUGGACAUUAACUGACGCUGAGGCACGAAGGCCAGGGGAGCGAAAGGGAUUAGAUACCCCUGUAGUCCUGGCAGUAAACGGUGCACGCUUGGUGUGCGGGGAAUCGACCCCCUGCGUGCCGGAGCUAACGCGUUAAGCGUGCCGCCUGGGGAGUACGGUCGCAAGAUUAAAACUCAAAGAAAUUGACGGGGACCCGCACAAGCGGUGGAGUAUGUGGUUUAAUUCGAUGCAACGCGAAGAACCUUACCUGGGCUUGACAUGUAAUGAACAACAUGUGAAAGCAUGCGACUCUUCGGAGGCGUUACACAGGUGCUGCAUGGCCGUCGUCAGCUCGUGUCGUGAGAUGUUUGGUUAAGUCCAGCAACGAGCGCAACCCCUGUUGCCAGUUACCAGCACGUGAAGGUGGGGACUCUGGCGAGACUGCCCAGAUCAACUGGGAGGAAGGUGGGGACGACGUCAGGUCAGUAUGGCCCUUAUGCCCAGGGCUGCACACGUACUACAAUGCCCAGUACAGAGGGGGCCGAAGCCGCGAGGCGGAGGAAAUCCUGAAAACUGGGCCCAGUUCGGACUGUAGGCUGCAACCCGCCUACACGAAGCCGGAAUCGCUAGUAAUGGCGCAUCAGCUACGGCGCCGUGAAUACGUUCCCGGGUCUUGUACACACCGCCCGUCACAUCAUGGAAGCCGGUCGCACCCGAAGUAUCUGAAGCCAACCGCAAGGAGGCAGGGUCCUAAGGUGAGACUGGUAACUGGGAUGAAGUCGUAACAAGGUAGCCGUAGGGGAACCUGCGGCUG